rnacentral:tRNA from 1 species
GGAGAGAUGGCUCAGUGGUUAAGAGCACUGACAGCUCUUCCAGAGGUCCUGAGUUCAAAUCCCAGCAACCACA